AUGGGAGGCGACGGCAGGCCCAGCGACGGCGGCGGCGGCGGCGGCGGCGCCGGCCACCCGCACCAGUUCCAGUACCAAGCCCUCCUCGCCGCCGUGCACACGCAGAACCCCAACCACAGCCACAACCUCCCCUUUCCCCUUCCUCCCCUCAAUGGACCUGGACCUGAUGCAUCUACACACAAUGCUGCUCGCCAGCCUCCGACGCCAAGGGGGUUUGCUGAUUGGAGUGCGUCCACCAGCGCCUUCACGUCCCUUGCUGUGCAGAGCACUCCUUCCACAGCUACUGCCAAUGCAUACCAUUACAGCCUAUCUCCUUGCUAUGCUUUCUGGACCCAUUACAUGCUUAACAAGAAUGCAUAUAGCUACUAUCCUGCACCUAAUCAGGAGCACACCCACCCUUUCAGCCUUGAUAACAACCAGGCUAAAGAUCCAGGUUCUAUACCCAGCUUUGGGAUUGAGUCAUUUAAUACAACAUCCCUGGCACCAAACAUGUCUGCUCAUAUGCCUCCCAUGGAAGGACCCCUACCUACAAAGGAACCUGAGGCUCCAGAGGACAUGCCUGCUAGAGUAGCUACAAUUAAGGAUGAAAUGGAUGCCAGAAAUGGUGUUGAACUUAAAUGUGAAACAGUUGACGCUCUUCCAGAGUUGAAGCAAGGUCAUGAAAGUUGUGCCAGUAAAUUCAACUCUGGAGAAUACCAAGUUAUUUUGCGCAAGGAAUUGACAAAGAGUGAUGUUGCAAAUGUAGGAAGAAUUGUGUUACCCAAGAAGGAUGCAGAAGCUAGUCUUCCACCAUUGUGUGAAAGGGAUCCUGUGAUACUGCAGAUGGAUGACAUGGUGCUCCCGAUUACGUGGAAAUUUAAGUACAGGUUCUGGCCAAACAACAAAAGCAGAAUGUACAUCCUGGAUUCUACAAGUGAAUUUGUGAAGACACAUGGUCUUCAGGCAGGGGACGCACUCAUUAUCUACAAAAAUCCUGUGCCUGGCAAAUAUAUUGUCCGAGGGGAGAAGGCCAUUCAGCAGACAAAUUAG
rnacentral:rRNA from 1 species